UAAUACAGAGGGGGCAAGCGUUGUUCGGAAUUAUUGGGCGUAAAGGGUGCGUAGGCGGUGCGGUAAGUCUUCUGUGAAAUCUCCGGGCUCAACUCGGAGCCUGCAGGAGAAACUGCCGUGCUUGAGUAUGGGAGAGGUGAGUGGAAUUCCUGGUGUAGCGGUGAAAUGCGUAGAUAUCAGGAGGAACACCUGUGGCGAAAGCGGCUCACUGGACCAUAACUGACGCUGAGGCACGAAAGCUAGGGGAGCAAACAGG
rnacentral:rRNA from 1 species